UACGAAGGGGGCUAGCGUUGCUCGGAAUCACUGGGCGUAAAGCGCACGUAGGCGGAUUGCUAAGUCAGGGGUGAAAUCCUGGAGCUCAACUCCAGAACUGCCUUUGAUACUGGCGAUCUUGAGUCCGGGAGAGGUGAGUGGAACUGCGAGUGUAGAGGUGAAAUUCGUAGAUAUCAAGCGGAACACCGGUGGCGAAGGCGGCCUUCUGGACAGUGACUGACGCUGAGACGCGAAAGCGUGGGGAGCAAACAGG
rnacentral:rRNA from 1 species